GGGCGAUUAACUCAGUGGGAGAGUGCCAUCUUCACACGGUGGAAGUCGCCGGUUCGAACCCGGCAUCGCCCACCA
rnacentral:tRNA from 1 species